rnacentral:pre_miRNA from 1 species
UCCUAUGGAUGAGCAAAGGAAGUGGUUUCUUGAGAUGGAAUCUACUCCUGGUGAGGAUGAUGUAAA